GCAUCAUGAUUUACAUUUGAGUGAGUGGCGAACUGGUGAGUAACACGUGGGAAACCUGCCCAGAAGCGGGGGAUAACACCUGGAAACAGAUGCUAAUACCGCAUAACAACUUGGACCGCAUGGUCCGAGUUUGAAAGAUGGCUUCGGCUAUCACUUUUGGAUGGUCCCGCGGCGUAUUAGCUAGAUGGUGGGGUAACGGCUCACCAUGGCAAUGAUACGUAGCCGACCUGAGAGGGUAAUCGGCCACAUUGGGACUGAGACACGGCCCAAACUCCUACGGGAGGCAGCAGUAGGGAAUCUUCCACAAUGGACGAAAGUCUGAUGGAGCAACGCCGCGUGAGUGAAGAAGGGUUUCGGCUCGUAAAACUCUGUUGUUAAAGAAGAACAUAUCUGAGAGUAACUGUUCAGGUAUUGACGGUAUUUAACCAGAAAGCCACGGCUAACUACGUGCCAGCAGCCGCGGUAAUACGUAGGUGGCAAGCGUUGUCCGGAUUUAUUGGGCGUAAAGCGAGCGCAGGCGG
rnacentral:rRNA from 2 species